rnacentral:rRNA from 1 species
UACGUAGGGUGCGAGCGUUAAUCGGAAUUACUGGGCGUAAAGGGCGCGUAGGCGGCAUUUGCAAGUCAGAUGUGAAAGCCCCGGGCUUAACUCGGGAACUGCAUCUGAAACUGCUUUUUGCUUGAGUCCUGGAGGGGUAGUGGAAUUCCCAGUGUAGCGGUGAAAUGCGUAGAUAUUGGGAGGAACACCUGCGGCGAAGGCGGCUACCUGGACAGUGACUGACGCUGAGGCGCGAAAGCUAGGGGAGCGAACGGG